UACGUAGGGUGCGAGCGUUAAUCGGAAUUACUGGGCGUAAAGCGUGCGCAGGCGGUCUGUUAAGACCGAUGUGAAAUCCCCGGGCUUAACCUGGGAACUGCAUCUGUGACUGUAUAGCUAGAGUACGGUAGAGGGGGAUGGAAUUCCGCGUGUAGCAGUGAAAUGCGUAGAUAUGCGGAGGAACACCGAUGGCGAAGGCAAUCCCCUGGACCUGUACUGACGCUCAUGCACGAAAGCGUGGGGAGCAAACAGG
rnacentral:rRNA from 1 species